CGGCGGACGGGUGAGUAACGCGUGGGUAACCUGCCUCAUACAGGGGGAUAACAGUUGGAAACGGCUGCUAAUACCGCAUAAGCGCACAGUACCGCAUGGUACCGUGUGAAAAACUCCGGUGGUAUGAGAUGGACCCGCGUCUGAUUAGGUAGUUGGUGGGGUAACGGCCUACCAAGCCGACGAUCAGUAGCCGACCUGAGAGGGUGACCGGCCACACUGGGACUGAGACACGGCCCAGACUCCUACGGGAGGCAGCAUG
rnacentral:rRNA from 1 species